AUGUAGUUUGGAUCCCCCGCUCAGGACGAACGCUGGCGGCGUGCCUAAUACAUGCAAGUCGAGCGGACGGAAGGGAGCUUGCUCCCGGACGUCAGCGGCGGACGGGUGAGGAACACGUGGGCAAUCUGCCCAUCAGUCGGGAAUAACACUCGGAAACGGGUGCUAAUGCCGGAUAGGCAUCUUGGGGGCAUCCCUGGGAUGGGAAAGGCGCUAUGGCGCUGCUGAUGGAGGAGCCCGCGGCGCAUUAGCUGGUUGGCGGGGUAACGGCCCACCAAGGCGACGAUGCGUAGCCGACCUGAGAGGGUGACCGGCCACACUGGGACUGAGACACGGCCCAGACUCCUACGGGAGGCAGCAGUAGGGAAUCUUCCGCAAUGGGCGCAAGCCUGACGGAGCAACGCCGCGUGAGCGAAGAAGGCCUUCGGGUUGUAAAGCUCAGUCAAUCGGGAAGAGCGACCUAGGGAGGGAAUGCCCUAGGGGAGACGGUACCGAUGGAGGAAGCCCCGGCAACACG
rnacentral:rRNA from 1 species